ensembl:antisense Gm12061 predicted gene 12061
GGUAGAGGGUUUAGCCUUUCUCAUGGAGCAACCGCAAACCUAGGGGCUCCGCUAGCCACACGCGCCUUUCCCCCUCAUCCUGGUCUGGGGGCGUCCUCAGAGGCGGGCGGCGGGGGGCUGACGGCGACUCCCGAAUCCCCGCCGGGCGGCCAGCCGAGGCAUUCAACCGAGUAGUGAAAACACCACAAAACCGGCUCUAUUUAUGACAAUACAGCGCGGCCACCGCCAAUAUGGCGCUACUUCCCAGGCUGCCUCUCGCCUUCCGCGGCUCCGCCCUGCAGCCCUGGGCCCGCCCUCGGGCACACCCCCACCCAGCCUUGAGUUCCCGGGACCCGCCCACCUCAGCGGACUUGCAGCAAAAGCAUCUGUCAGAGUGUCAGGUCUCCCUGGUCUGUGGGAUUGUCAAUUCAGGCAAACCUCUGGGAAGGUUAUUUGUCAAUUUCCCCUUGUUUCUGCAAUAAAAGCAUCUAGAAAAAAAA